UGCUCCUGUAUCUGCUGUGAUGGCUCCUCCCCUAUAUCAGUAGAGGUCUGCUGGUCAUGCAGCUCAGGAAUAACUGAUGCUGUUGGAUCAUCUACGGACUGAGCGACCCCCUCAACCCUCUCAUCUGGAUAUACGGAUGGGUCUGAAAAGAAAGUGUCAUACUCAUGUGGCCAACUGGUACCCGAUGAUAUCAUCUGGGG
rnacentral:lncRNA from 1 species